rnacentral:lncRNA from 1 species
AUAAGAAUUUUGAGAGUAUUCAUUCAAACUUUUCUCUCAAGUGUUCUUGUUUUUCUGUGGCUUUCGUUCAUCUUUCAACUUUCGUUCUUACUUCGUUCUUCUGCUGUUCUUCGUGGGUGCCUUGAGGGAAUUCUGUUGAAUCCUUUAUCAUUGCAAGUUAGGCCGACUUAGGCGUUUUUGCUAUUGAAUCAUUUAUCAUUGCGAGUUAGGCUGACUUAAGCGUUUUUAAGCAAAGAAACUGCCUAAGGCCGCACGGAUCGCGUGAGAAAACUCUAAGUCCAUGACACAAGCACAUGGUCAGCGACACCCUUAAAAGCUUUUCAAUCAAAAUGAUAAAUUUACAUAUUAGGUCCCUAAAUAUUUUAGAUCAUUAUAUUUCAAUUUGGUGCCGCCAAUUUGUCAAGCGACACUGAUAGAACACUGUAGCAAACAUACCAUUUUGAUAAAUAAUCUCAUGGGCAUACUAUUUGAGUUUUUUUUUGUAUUAUUGAAAUAAAAAAUCCUAUAUAUACAUAC